AGAGUUUGAUCAUGGCUCAGGAUGAACGCUGGCGGCGUGCUUAACACAUGCAAGUCGAACGAGCAGCCAGAAGUGCUUGCACAUCUGGUGGGCGAGUGGCGGACGGGUGCGUAACACGUAGGAACCUGCCCUGAGGAGGGGGACAAUCGCUGGAAACGGCGGCUAAUCCCACAUGGUCUCCUAGAGAUGAGAGUCUCAUGGAGUAAAACUCCGGUGCCUCAGGAGGGGCCUGCGGCCUAUCAGGUAGUUGGUGAGGUAAAGGCUCACCAAGCCGAUGACGGGUAGGGGGCGUGAGAGCGUGGCCCCCCACACGGGAACUGAGACACGGUCCCGACGCCUACGGGCGGCAGCAGUGAGGAAUCUUGCCCAAUGGGGGAAACCCUGAGGCAGCGACGCCGCGUGCGGGAGGAAGGCCUUCGGGUCGUAAACCGCUUUUCUGGGGGACGAGGAAGGACGGUACCCCAGGAAUAAGUCCCGGCUAACUACGUGCCAGCAGCCGCGGUAAAACGUAGGGGGCGAGCGUUAUCCGGAAUUACUGGGCGUAAAGGGCGUCUAGGCGGCAGUCUAAGUCCUGCGUGAAAGCUCCCGGCUCAACUGGGAGAGGGCGUGGGAAACUGGGCAGCUAGAGAAUCGGAGAGGGGUGUGGAAUUCCCGGUGGAGUGGUGAAAUGCGUUGAGAUCGGGAGGAACACCAGAGGCGAANNNGGCACCCUGGCCGAGUUCUGACGCUAAAGCGCGACAGCGUGGGGAGCGAACGGGAUUAGAUACCCCGGUAGUCCACGCCGUANNNAUGANAACUAGGUGUNGGGGGUCCAAGGACGCUCGG
rnacentral:rRNA from 1 species